rnacentral:rRNA from 1 species
GACGAACGCUGGCGGCGUGCUUAACACAUGCAAGUCGAACGGUGAAGGGAUCAGCUUGCUGGUUCUGGAUGAGUGGCGAACGGGUGAGUAACACGUGAGUAACCUGCCCCCUUCUUCUGGAUAACCGCAUGAAAGUGUGGCUAAUACGGGAUAUUCUGGGUCUGUCGCAUGAUGGGUCUGGGAAAGAUAUUGUUUCGGUGGGGGAUGGGCUCGCGGCCUAUCAGCUUGUUGGUGGGGUGAUGGCCUACCAAGGCGGUGACGGGUAGCCGGCCUGAGAGGGUGGACGGCCACACUGGGACUGAGACACGGCCCAGACUCCUACGGGAGGCAGCAGUGGGGAAUAUUGCACAAUGGGCGCAAGCCUGAUGCAGCGACGCCGCGUGAGGGAUGGAGGCCUUCGGGUUGUAAACCUCUUUCGCCAGUGAAGCAGGCCUGCUCCUUGUGGGUGGGUUGACGGUAGCUGGAUAAGAAGCGCCGGCUAACUACGUG